rnacentral:rRNA from 1 species
UACAGAGGCCCCAAGCGUUAUCCGGAAUUACUGGGCGUAAAGGAUGUCAAGGCGGUCAUGUUAGUCGUGUGUAAAAUCCGGGGGCUCAACCUCCGGCCCCGCACGCGAAACGGCAUGACUAGAGGUUGGAAGAGGUGCGUGGAACUCACGGUGUAGGGGUGAAAUCCGUUGAUAUCGUGGGGAACACCAAAGGCGAAGGCAGCGCACUGGUCCAAAUCUGACGCUCACACAUGAAAGCCAGGGUAGCGAAUGGG